rnacentral:lncRNA from 1 species
CUGCAAGAGGGACUUCAAAGAGACCACUUGGAAAGCAUGACACAUGCCCUUUGGAGUCUGAGAGACAUGUUAGCCUGACGUCUGGCUCAUGCCCAGGAAAUAUACAGGGUGUUCUGUAUGAUCGAUUUAAGAGUUCCAGACUGCUGACACCAUA